UAAAUAAUCUACGACAAGCCCAAGGUCUCUCCUCUCCAUGGGACAGGAUGUCCUAUAAGGAAUGUCAGUAUAGCCCAAGGUCUCUCCUCUCCCUGGGACAGGAUGUCCUAUAAGGAAUGUCAGUAUAGCCCAAGGUCUCUCCUCUCCCUGGGACAGGAUGUCCUGUAAGAAAUGUCAGUAUAGCCCAAGGUCUCUCCUCUCCCUGGGACAGGAUGUCCUGUAAGGAAUGUCAGUAUAGCCCAAGGUCUCUCCUCUCCCUGGGUGGGGACAGGAUGUCCUAUAAGGAAUGUCAGUAUAGCCCAAGGUCUCUCCUCUCCCUGGGACAGGAUGUCCUAUAAGGAAUGUCAGUAUAGCCCAAGGUCUCUCCUUUCUCUGGGUGGGGACAGGAUGUCCUAUAAGGAAUGUCAGUAUAGCCGAAGGUCUCUCCCCUCCCUGGGUGGGGACAGGAUGUCCUAUAAGGAAUGUCAGUAUAGCCCAAGGUCUCUCCUCUCCCUGGGUGGGGACAGGAUGUCCUAUAAGGAAUGUCAGUAUAGCCCAAGGUCUCUCCUCUCCCUGGGUGGGGACAGGAUGUCCUAUAAGGAAUGUCAGUAUAGCCCAAGGUCUCUCCUCUCCCUGGGUGGGGACAGGAUGUCCUAUAAGGAAUGUCAGUAUAGCCCAAGGUCUCUCCUCUCCCUGGGUGGGGACAGGAUGUCCUAUAAGGAAUGUCAGUAUAGCCCAAGGUCUCUCCUCUCCCUGGGUGGGGACAGGAUGUCCUAUAAGGAAUGUCAGUAUAGCCCAAGGUCUCUCCUCUCCCUGGGUGGGGACAGGAUGUCCUGUAAGGAAUGUCAGUAUAGCCCAAGGUCUCUCCUCUCCCUGGGACAGGAUGUCCUAUAAGGAAUGUCAGUAUAGCCCAAGGUCUCUCCCCUCCCUGGGUGGGGACAGGAUGUCCUAUAAGGAAUGUCAGUAUAGCCCAAGGUCUCUCCUCUCCCUGGGUGGGGACAGGAUGUCCUGUAAGGAAUGUCAGUAUAGCCCAAGGUCUCUCCUCUCCCUGGGUGGGGACAGGAUGUCCUAUAAGGAAUGUCAGUAUAGCCCAAGGUCUCCCCUCCCUGGGUGGGGACAGGAUGUCCUAUAAGGAAUGUCAGUAUAGCCCAAGGUCUCUCCCCUCCCUGGGUGGGGACAGGAUGUCCUAUAAGGAAUGUCAGUAUAGCCCAAGGUCUCUCCUCUCCCUGGGACAGGAUGUCCUAUAAGGAAUGUCAGUAUAGCCCAAGGUCUCUCCUCUCCCUGGGUGGGGACAGGAUGUCCUAUAAGGAAUGUCAGUAUAGCCCAAGGUCUCUCCUCUCCCUGGGUGGGGACAGGAUGUCCUAUAAGGAAUGUCAGUAUAGCCCAAGGUCUCUCCUCUCCCUGGGUGGGGACAGGAUGUCCUAUAAGGAAUGUCAGUAUAGCCCAAGGUCUCUCCUCUCCCUGGGUGGGGACAGGAUGUCCUAUAAGGAAUGUCAGUAUAGCCCAAGGUCUCUCCUCUCCCUGGGACAGGAUGUCCUAUAAGGAAUGUCAGUAUAGCCCAAGGUCUCUCCCCUCCCUGGGUGGGGACAGGAUGUCCUAUAAGGAAUGUCAGUAUAGCCCAAGGUCUCUCCUCUCCCUGGGACAGGAUGUCCUAUAAGGAAUGUCAGUAUAGCCCAAGGUCUCUCCUCUCCCUGGGUGGGGACAGGAUGUCCUGUAAGGAAUGUCAGUAUAGCCCAAGGUCUCUCCUCUCCCUGGGUGGGGACAGGAUGUCCUAUAAGGAAUGUCAGUAUAGCCCAAGGUCUCUCCUCUCCCUGGGUGGGGACAGGAUGUCCUGUAAGGAAUGUCAGUAUAGCCCACGGUCUCUCCCCUCCCUGGGACAGGAUGUCCUAUAAGGAAUGUCAGUAUAGCCCACGGUCUCUCCCCUCCCUGGGACAGGAUGUCCUAUAAGGAAUGUCAGUAUAGCCCAAGGUCUCUCCUCUCCCUGGG